rnacentral:tRNA from 1 species
GUGGGUGUAGCUCAGUUGGUCAGAGCGCCGGAUUGUGGUUCCGGAGGUCGUGGGUUCAAGACCCAUCAUCCACC